GGAUGGCGGAGGCCGCGCUGCCCCGGGGGCGCUGCUGUCGGCCCCGGGCCUCAGCCGCAGCGUCGGCGCCAGCGGAGCCCCGCGUGUGAGCCGGCCCCUGGAGCCUCGGGGCAGACGCGUCAGCAGGCCCCAGGCCGAGCCCCGUGCGGGAGCGCCGGCGUCUCGGGCAGGGCCUGCGUGCGGACCGCGCGCAGCCUUCAGCUCAAUCCACACUUACUUGUGCCAACCCAGCAGAACAAGGCCAGGACAAGGCACCCUGUGAGAGAUAGCUGCUAUGCCUGGGCAUGGCCCUGGGUUUCAGCCCUUUCCAAAGGUUGUGCAUUACACCAGCGCCUGGAUUGGAGACCAGGCUUGGCAGCACCACCGCACUGACUUUCUCUCUGGUAAUAAAAGAUACCCUUCUUUCCUA